GGCCGGCUAGCUCAGUUGGUUGAGCGUGGUGCUGAUAACAUCAAGGUCGUGGGUUUGGUCCCCAUUCGGUCC
rnacentral:tRNA from 1 species